GCACCCGUAGCUCAGCUGGAUAGAGCGUCUGAUUGCGGUUCAGAAGGCCGGGAGUUCGAACCUCUCCGGGUGUACCA
rnacentral:tRNA from 1 species